ensembl:lncRNA
ACGUUUAAUACACAGAAGUUUCAAGGCCUGGGUGGCAGAUCGAGAAAGUAGUCAUGCUUGGUCAUAGCAUAUGGUAGUGUGAGCCACAGCGAGCCGCUUCUGAUGGAGCAAAGGCAUUGGGGAGACACUUCCUGGAUGCUAAAGGAUGCUAUUUGCAAAAGACAGUGGACACAAAUUCCUAUAGGUGAAUGUCAAAGCCUGCGCAGACAGGAGGUGAUCUUCUGGUAGCAGAAAGGUGGCCAUUAGGAAAUGAAGAGCUUGAAACUGGGGGGGCUUAGAAAGGGAAAAAAAUCAAUGACCCCCCAAAUAAGUCACAGCCAAUUACAUCUCAGGAUGAAUCUUACCACCGAAUUUACCUACGGAAAUGAAUGGCUUACCCUUGGAAGAAGAGCUAACUCAUGGUUUUGGCAAAACACAUGGUUUCAGCCAAACGAGGUGUGCCUGUGGCUUGAGGUUAAGGAUAAUUUAGACGUAACAUGUGUGCACUUGUUUAACAUCUCAUUACCUAAAGGGGUUGUUAAAAUAUGGAGCUCGGGGCCUCCAUCCCAAGAAACUCCCAGUGGAAUUUAACUAUCUGUAUUUCUAACAAGGUCCCGAGACCAAAGUUUGAGAAGUGGUGGAUCAGAUACCAACUUCUAAGAUUUUUUUUUCUCCCUCCGGGACCCUUCUAGAUCUAUUUUUCUAGGACAAAGAAAAAUACUGUAAACAAAAGAGCCAAUAUUUCAAGAUAAAUAUUACUGUAUAAUUUGGAAGUACUUAAUAAACGUGAACGCAAGUGGUGGAUAAUCUCAGCCCUGGAAUAAAACUCACUAUGGAAAGCUAAGUGGUACUUUUAAGAAUGAAAGGACAUAGUUAUACAGAAAGGUGCUUUUUAUUUUUGUAUUUUCGUUUUUUUUGUUGUUGUUGCUUUCUAGGUCCACCCCUGCGGCAUAGGGAAGUUCCCAGGCUAGGGGUCACAUUGGAGCUGCAGUUGACUGUCUACACCAUAGCCAUAGCAAUUGAAGGAUCCGGGCCGCAUCUAUGAGCCACACCGCAGCUCACAGCAGCACCCUAACCACUGAGUGAGGCCAGAGAUGGAACCCAAAUCCUCAUGGAUACCAGCUGGGUUUUUAACCCACAGAGCCACAGUAGGAACUCCUGGUGCGAGUUAUUUAAAUAAGAGAAACCCUAGUCGCAAGUCACCCCGCCCUGAACGCAUUCUCUAAUUACCUGGACACAGUACGCACACCUGUGCACAAUCCGUCUUUCACAGAAUAUAGACUGGGAUUAUUUACCGUCAAACAGUGGUGUUUUGAGUAUCUAGUGUGUCGUAGCUGAAAUGGAGAAGGGUGGAAGAGAAGGAUACAAAAAAAAUUUUAUUUAUUUUUUUUGCCAUGCCCAUGGCAUGCAGAAGUUCCUGGGCCGGGAGUCGAACCCAUGUCAGGCAGUGACCAGAGCCACAGCAGGGAUAACGCUGAAUCCUUCACCUGCUGCACCAUGAGGAAGCUCCCCAAAUUUUUUAAAAUGCAAACAAGUCAGAGAAAAUGAUGGUGCAGAGGCAGAGCAACUGGAACGCUCUCGCAUUACUGAAUCAGGACCACUCUGGAAGGCUGGCGCUGUGUGCUCAGCUGAGCACAGACACGUCCUCCCACCCAGCAAUUCCAUUCCCACGUAUUUUCAAAGGACCCGUGGCUCACCCUUCACUGCAGUCGUAUUCCUAAGAGACCCAAGCAUCCACCAAAGUGGCUGCACAGCAGAAUUUCUCCUGCUUGGCACUACUGGUCUCGGGGGGCUGGUGAUGCCUGGUUGUGGGGGCUGUCCUGUGGCUGGUGAGAUGUUUAGCAGCACCCCUGGCCUCUACUCUCUAUCUACAUGCCACAGCACCCCUUGCCCCCUCCUGGCCAAGCUGUGAAAACCAAAAAUGUCUCCGGAUAUUGUCAAAAUGUCCCCUGGGGAGCGAAAUCGUCCCCAGCCAGCCCCAACACGUCACAUAUCGUCUCUCUACACAGCAGUGAGAAUACAGUAGAAGUGCCUGCAACAACAACAACAAAAUGGAAUUUCAUAAAGAGAACAUGGAGCCAAAAAAAAAAAAAGGCAGACAGAAAAAGCACCUGCUGGUAGGGAUGGAGGGGAUAGUUACACAGGUAGUUGGAGAAGCCCCAACAGAGGAUAAAAGAUAGAAGGGAAGCCCAGGGAACUUGGGGAGAUCACAGCUACGUUAACCAUUGCUCAAGAAAGCCACGAGAGGAGUUCCCGUCGUGGCGCAGUGGUUAACGAAUCCGACUAGGAACCAUGAGGUUGCGGGUUGGGUCCCUGGCCUUGCUCAGUGGGUUAACGAUCCGACGUUGCCGUGAGCUGUGGUGUAGGUUGCAGACGCGGCUCGGAUCCUGCGUUGCUGUGGCUCUGGCGUAGGCCAGUGGCUACAGCUCCGAUUCGACCCCUAGCCUGGAAACCUCCAUAUGCCACGGGAGCGGCCCAAGAAAUGGCAAAAAGACAAAAAAAAAAAAAAAAGCCACGAGAACGAAGCAGGCUGGCUGCAUGAGAUAUGCCUUAGGUCACUCAGUGAAAGGGAAAAUGAGACCUGCAUUCAAGUUCAGCGAGACAAUGAUCCUUAGGACCAAGAACAGGAGUUUAAGGGACAGAUGACAUUCCAAAGUAGGUGACCCUCCUUAUA